UCUUGAACCAUAACUAACGAAACGAAAAUCUAUCAGUUUUAAUAUAAUGGCCUCGAGACGUGCAGGGAACAUGUAUUUAUCUAAAUGUUGUUUUUGUGUUCCUCUGAGAACCGGACUUUUAAUGUUAGCGGUCUUUAAAAUCCUGGGUUUUUUAAGCUAUACGACGUUCAAUAUCUUUUUUGAUGACACGAAUCUCUCGGAUAUGGUUUCAAUCAUUAAUAUAAUUAUAAUGCUACUUGAUGUGUUCUUUUCAUCAGUACUGAUUUUGGGUAUUUAUAAGAGUAACGCCUCAGUGGUUCAAGUUUGUUACGCGUUGUCUGCUACGAUAUUGAUGUUGGAGCUGGUCAAGUGUGUAGUAUAUAUCACACUGGAGACGUACAUAUUACUCUCUGGUUCCCGACAGGAUGUUUCGAGGAGAUUGCUGACAUUAAACACAUAUUCGCUGUUCUAUAUUGCACUACAAUCAUAUAUCGUCAUAUUGAUACGUGGUCAUUUGUUCAGCAUGAGGGAACAUUGCAUCUCCGACCCUGACACGUCAGCAUACAGACCAAGGAAACCCCAUAUAGCUUACUGAUGAUAUUUAAUAUCAGCCUUAAAUCAAAAAAGAGGCCAGAAUGCCGAAAUAUACAAUUGCGAAAAUAUGUACACGAUAGAAUGUUGUAUUUGAAGUUAUUUUCUUUCCAAAAUGGCUAUUUAUUUAUUUACUUAAGCAAACUUUACAGCAUUUCUAUUCUACAUGUUAAAACUAUUGACUAUAUACAUGUAUUGUCUUUAAAAAAUAUUGGCAGGUUUAAUUAUAAUGAAAUAAAAACGAUGGUAAAUAAAUGGUAAUUAUAUAAAAAAAAGAAGAAGAACUUCUGAGUAAUGUGUGCAUGUGAUAAAUAAUUAUUAAAUAGAUAUGCGUAAACAAAAUAUCUGAUUCCGCCUGUUUAUAAGUCAUUGAGUACAAAUUACAGUAUGUUUUUGUUCAAUGCAUGUUCAUGCAUAUAGAAAAAAUGGACUUAAAACAAGGUGCAGCCUCAGAUAAUUUUUACAUCUAGAUAGAGUCUCUUACAGUUAGACAAUCGAUAAAAACAGGCCAGAUCAUCCCCACCAUCUGGAUGUGUGGCGGUCCUCUCGGUUAGUUCUAAACUCAAUUUUUUUUCGACUUUUUCGAGGCUGUCAUAGUCUAUCUAGACGUAUUAAUGACCUAAGCAUGCGCCCAAUGUACGGAAGAGGGCCCAUGAUGCAGUUAGAGAGGAGACCGCUCACUUUGAUCCAAAUAAUCUGAAACUUGCUGAAGUACCGGAUCUACGCAUUGAUUUUUGAAGGGCCGCCGAAAUAGAUCAAUCACCAAGUAAGAUAUAAAAUACCCAAAGGAAAACAAGGAUUAUUAUGCCUAAGAAUUGUUCGGUUCAGUUGAAUUAUUAAUAUAUUUUAGUACAUAUAAUUAACUCAAUAACCGCCAUGCA